rnacentral:piRNA from 1 species
GCUUUGGACAGUUUGAUGGUCUUG